rnacentral:lncRNA from 1 species
UGUGGGCCCAGGGGUCCAUAGAUGACAUGCCAUUCGAUAGAUAUUUAUUCUGGUGUUCCAGGAAAACAAAUAACGGUACAGCUUAAGCGAAAAGAAAAACAUCUUACUGUCAGUGUCUAAGCUCCUUUAACAACGGAAUGUGUCUGAGACCUUGUGUACGGAUACACGUGUACUUAAAACAGCCCCGCCAG